GCUUGGUGGAGAGCAACAGAAGGCUUUGAAGGGGAAAGUUGAGCUGAAUCUUGCAGGAUGGGCAGGAGUUUCCCAGUCAGAAGGGACUCUGGAAUAGGGUGAAGAAGGACAUUUCAGGCAGAGGAAGUAGCUUACGCAAAGGCAGGAAGCAUGGGAGGAUGUGGCAUGUUUGGGGAGCUGCAAAUAGUUUCAUGUGGGUGUGUGGGGGGGUGUGGCGGGUGAGGAGGCUGGCAAGGCGGGCUGGGCCAGAGCCUGGAUCCGUCCGUCCCUCUGCCAUGCAGACACUCAGUUGGUGCCUGCCCAUCUGGGCUCUGGCCCCUGCUGGGGCCUGAGGCUGCAGAAAGGGAGUGCAAGGUGAGUGUGUGGGCAGAUUAAUGCAGUUAUUAUGUGGGCCACUCCAAAAGAGCCUUGCCUAUUGGCUUGUGAAUUUAGUUUCAUCCUAGAGGUAAAUUGGGAGCCAUUGAGAGGUUCUGAGCAAGAUGACCACAUGUGUUCUGGUGUCUUUUGGCUACUGAAGAGGAUGUUGAGCUGGGAGUCCCAUAAGGCCUGCUGAAGCGUUCCCAGGAAAGACCCUGGAACUCAAACCCAGGCAAGCCAGCUGUAGAAAGGAAGAGAAUAAGUGACCUUUCAUCCGUUUCUCCACGUGACUUAUGUAGAUGUUUCUUUUGCACAGCACAGGUUGGUAGGGUCAGGGACAUGAAGAUAGGCUUUGUGGCAGGCAGUGUCUCUUGGCUUGUCAGCAGGAGGCCUGCCAGAUAACUUCCUGCCUAUCUGGUCAUUCUCAAGUCUUGGCGUGUGAGUAGGGCAGUUCCACCAUCUAGAGACAAGAGAUGGUAUUGCAGUGAUCUCCUGUGCCUCCGGGGGGGGGGCGGGGGGGGAGGUGGGAGGAGCUUCAGGCCAAAAGAAGUGACUGUGUGCAAGGUAGACUUGUGGAGGGCAAGAGAGUUUACAGCAAAAUACUGGGGGAGAAGAGAGUGCCACUGAGCCACGCUGAAAGGCUCUUCAAGAGGGUAUUUGAACCGGAAGGACAGGCAGGGAGGAGCUGCAUAUUCAGAGGUUUGGGUGGUCGGGCAUUCUAGGCCAUGGACAGUUGUUUGGACUGUGUCAUAGCUACUAAUAACCACAAUUAUGGGGCAUUUGCUGAAUGCUGGACCCAGGCUAAGCUCUCGUGAAGUUUCUUGUUUAAUAUGGCAGUUCUGUAAGUAGAUAUUGAGGAACUGGGGCUCCCAGAACCCAAGGGACUUGUCUAGAAUCACACGACUCAGAUUCGCACCGUGGCCUGCCUCUCUCAAGCUGUGUUUCUGACCACUACACCCGGUUGCCUGCUACUAAAGCUCUGAGCCAGGUUUGGAUGCCAUAGGCUUCAAGGGGGCUGCAAGGGGACCAGAGCUGCAGACAGUUGAGGGUGACCGUUAGGGUCUGCUUAGAAGUGAGAGCCUGGAAUAGGUGCCCAAGUCCCAGGCAAACUGUGACUAAAAGGAAGGCCUGGGUUGGCCUGAGUAGAGGAGGCCAUUCAGGGCUGAGAAACCCCCAGGGGAUUUCAGAGAGGGCUUGGAAAGGGCUGUAAUGGGAGGGAGAGGUGAGAACAGGUAAUAAUGACUUCACAGUGCUGGGAAGGAGGGCUGGGGAGAGGAGUAAGUGGAGGUAGAGGGAGAAGCCUGUUUAAACUUAGGGGUCAUCCCUGUGAAGGUGAACUGCUGGCAAAAAAAAUUUUUUUGCGGUAGGUAGGGAGAAAGGAGCCUUUAGAGUUGAGCAAAACCCAGGAUUGAGGGUACAAGGUCUGUGCUGAAUCUCUUGGAUUCAAGAUCUUAUGUCUCUGAGGGCCCAGUCUGAAGGCUGGUACAGACUUAGGCACCUGGAAAGCUGACGUGGGAAACAGGUAGCAGUAGGUGAGACAAAGUGAGGCCUCUUGAUGCCAGGAGGAGAAAUGAGUACUGGGCCUUGCAGCCUUCAUUCAGUCCUAGGAAGUGUUGGAGGCUCACAUAGGAGCCUUACAUGGCUGAGGUUUCUGGGAGCCAGAGGAGGGAAAUUAGGUAGGGAGGCGAGCAGAGUGGGAAGUGCAGGCACUAGCAACCUACAGAGAUUUGGAGGGGAACCAGUGGUCUUGGCUUUUAGCCAGGAAGGGACUUAGGAAGUGGGAUAGGUCCCUGGAUGGGCCAUGGGUUGCAGAAGAAGUCUAGAGGCUCUGGUGAUGGUAGCUGGCCCUGCCAGAGGGAUGGGGAGGAUGAUCUCUUCACAGAAUUUCACCAGCAACCCAGAUGUCAGUGAUCCCAAUCCUAUGUCCUGACAGGUGCUUCCUGCAGCCCCUCCGCAGCCACUUGCCAGGUCCUGACCCUGCAAGCAUGUGUGUAAACACACACACACAUGUUCUUGCUUUCCUAGGGCAUGACUGUGGAGGGCUCUGAGCUCUUUAUUACCACUCCUCAGUUUUGCUCCCUUGCCUGCCAUAAUUUCUCUGCCUGUAAAGCCUGCUCUUCUCCAGGAGAUAGGAGGGAAAUUAGCUAAUAGGAUUUCGCUGGACCCAGGCUGCAGGAUCAGCCACUGUACAGUUCUGCUGGUGGCCCUGGGGCGUGGGGGCUGACAGAGGGUCUCAUGGUGGGGUGGAAGGGCCCCCUUAGUGGAGCCAUGUGGAGGGUGAUGGUUCAGAGGUCCUCUCCGCCCUUCCCUCUCCUGGCCUCCAGAAGGGCAGAGACCAAGUCUAACCCCUCACUAUGAUCCCUGGGUUUCCACAGGGCAUGGCAUGUUUGUUGAAGGAAUAGAUGAGAGUCCUGUGGUACGAUGCCACAGGCAGGGGCCAUAGGUGGGUUCCAGUAAGAAAAUAGCUAGCUGUGUCCUGGUAUCUGGGGCUGCAUGGCUUGUCAGAGCUGCUGGUUCUUUUAGGCCUGAUCUGGCACAGCCCCAGGAGGAAGGAGGUCUGAGGGCCUCCUUCCUUUGGCCAACUCUCACACCCAUGCUUUGCUUCCCCAGGUGCCCCCUGAUAAGUGCCGAUGUGCCGUGGGCAGCAUCCUGAGUGAAGGUGAGGAAUCGCCCUCCCCUGAGCUCAUCGACCUCUACCAGAAAUUUGGCUUCAAGGUGUUCUCCUUCCCGGCACCCAGCCAUGUGGUGACAGCCACCUUCCCCUACACCACCAUCCUGUCCAUCUGGCUGGCUACCCGCCGUGUCCAUCCUGCCUUGGACACCUACAUCAAGGAGCGGAAGCUGUGUGCCUAUCCUCGGCUGGAGAUCUACCAGGAAGACCAGAUCCAUUUCAUGUGCCCACUGGCACGGCAGGGAGACUUCUAUGUGCCUGAGGUGAAGGAGACAGAGUGGAAAUGGCGGGGGCUUGUGGAGGCCAUUGACACCCAGGUGGAUGGCACAGGAGCUGACACAAUGAGUGACACGAGUUCUAUAAGCUUGGAAGUGAGCCCUGGCAGCCGGGAGACUUCAGCUGCCACACUGUCACCUGGGGCGAGCAGCCGUGGCUGGGAUGACGGUGACACCCGCAGCGAGCACAGCUACAGCGAGUCAGGUGCCAGCGGCUCCUCUUUUGAGGAGCUGGACUUGGAGGGCGAGGGGCCCUUAGGGGAGUCACGGCUGGACCCUGAGACUGAGCCCCUGGGGACUACCAAGUGGCCCUGGGAGCCCAGUGCCCCUGAGAAGGGCAAGGAGUAACCCAUGGCCUGCACCCUCCUGCAGUGCAGUUGCUGAGGAACUGAGCAGACUCUCCAGCAGACUCUCCAGCCCUCUUUCUCCUUCCUCUUGGGGAGGAGGGGUUCCUGAGGGACCUGACUUCCCCUGCUCCAGGCCUCUUGCUAAGCCUUCUCCUCACUGCCCUUUAGGCUCCCAGGGCCAGAGGAGCCAGGGACUAUUUUCUGCACCAGCCCCCAGGGCUGCCGCCCCUGUUGUGUCUUUUUUUCAGACUCACAGUGGAGCUUCCAGGACCCAGAAUAAAGCCAAUGAUUUACUUGUUUCA
rnacentral:sRNA from 1 species